CGGGGUGCAGCAGGCGCGAAACCUUUACACUGCGGGAAACCGCGAUAAGGGGACCCCGAGUGCCAGCACCUAGUGCUGGCUGUCCAGCUGUCUAAAUAACAGUUGUUAGCAAGGGCCGGGCAAGACCGGUGCCAGCCGCCGCGGUAACACCGGCGGCCCGAGUGGUAGCCGCUAUUAUUGGGUUUAAAGGGCCCGUAGCCGGCCUAUUAAGUCUCUUGGGAAAUCUGGCGGCUUAAUCGUCAGGCGGCCAAGAGAUACUGGUAGGCUUGGGACCGGGAGAGGUGGGAGGUACUCCAGGGGUAGGGGUGAAAUCUCGUAAUCCUUGGGGGACCACCGAUGGCGAAGGCAUCCCACCAGAACGGGUCCGACGGUGAGGGACGAAAGCUGGGGGCACGAACCGGAUUAGAUACCCGGGUAGUCCCAGCUGUAAACGAUGCUCGCUAGGUGUCAGGUGCGGUGCGACCGCAUCUGGUGCCGCAGUGAAAACUUGAAGCGAGUCACCUGGGAAGUACGGUCGCAAGGCUGAAACUUAAAGGAAU
rnacentral:rRNA from 1 species